CGUUGACGAAGUAAAUGCGCGGCCGAUUUUGGCUGGCGUUGACGUGUAAAUAUUCCUUUCUUAUUACCUCCAACGCGUGUGUAUGCUAAAAAUUUUUGAAAUCAGCAAAAUUCCAUACAAAUUCUCCAAUAAACCACUUUUGAGAUCUUAGGUUGUCGAACGCUUUGAAGUGCUUGCUGAGUAGUGAAAGCUGGUAAUCCUCCGACCAAAUAUAUGCUGGAAGCUGAUGGCAUUUAAAAUCGAAAAUUACCAAAUAUAUUGUUCUUACUAAAUUUAA